rfam:Otolemur garnettii contig020003, whole genome shotgun sequence.
GACAUGGGUGGCGCGUACCUGUAGUCCCAGCUACUCUGGAGGCUAAGACAGGAGAAUCACUUGAGUCCAAGAGUUCUGGGCUGUGGUGCGCUAUGCCAGUUGGAUGUCUGCACUAAGUUUGGCAUCAAUAUGGUGACCUCCUGAGAGCAGGGGGCCACCAGGUUACCUAAGGAGGGGUGAACCAGCCUAGGUCAGAAAUGGAGCAGAUCAAACCUCCACUGCUGAUCAGUAGUGGGAUUGAGCCUGUGAAUAGCCACUGCACUCCAGCCUGGACAACAUAGUGAGACCCCAUCUUUA